rnacentral:ribozyme from 1 species
UGCCAAGCAACUCCUAUCCCUACCUCCGCGUGGCACCGGUUGGGCUACGAGCAACCUUAGGGAAGAUCGGGUAACCAACUCCGGUGGGAACUUUGGUCAUAGGCUGACAGGGAAGA